rnacentral:rRNA from 1 species
GUAGGGGGGCGAGCGUUGUCCGGGAUUUAUUGGGGCGUAAAGAGCUCGUAGGCGGCUCAGCAAGUCGGCCGUGAAAGCCUGAGGGCUCAACCUCAGGACGCCGGUCGAAACUGCUGUGGCUAGGGUUCGGUAGAGGAGAGUGGAAUUCCCGGUGUAGCGGUGAAAUGCGCAGAUAUCGGGAGGAACACCAGUAGCGAAGGCGGCUCUCUGGGCCGAUACCGACGCUGAGGAGCGAAAGCUAGGGGAGCGAACAGGAUUAGAUACCCUGGUAGUCUUAGCUGUAAACGUUGGGCACUAGGUGUGGCGGACUCAUUGACGUCUGCCGUGCCGAAGCUAACGCAUUAAGUGCCCCGCCUGGGGAGUACGGUCGCAAGGCUA